GCACCCGUUGCUGUAACAUUAGAUGACACUGUAAUCCAUUUUGAAGAAGAUGGGAUUGCAAGGGUAAGUAAGAAGGAUGCCUCUCAGUUCUUAAGAGGAGCGAAGCUGAACAUAUCAAUUAUUCAAGUAUUCAUGAGGGAACAUCGGAUGCUUUUGGUGAUUUGUGUACCUACUUGCACUAUUUAUCAAUUUGACUCAGCUCGCCCAACAACAAGGAGAAACGUUAAAAUGAAGCCUAUUGUGAGCUUUUUUUCACUGGGUAUAAGCUAAAUGGAAACCGUGUGAAUAGGAAAAAAAAACCUCUAUGGAAACUCAUGACGUGUGCUCAACAAAGAGGUGGUACCGAGUGUGGCUUUUACAUAAUGAGAUACAUGUAUAACAUACUCUCCAAAUACGAUGAAGCAAAUGAUAUUGAUGAGGUUUGCACGUCUUUAAAUGAAGAUCCUUACACCGAUGGUGAUAUUGAAGAAGUGCAGAACAUAUAGGCCUUAUAUUUCACUAAUUAUUGUGUGUGGAUCAUAGUUAUUUAAUAAUAUUUUGUGUUUUGUUUUGGAUUGAUAUAUGUACGUACAAAAUUGAAUCGUACAUUUUAUCAUAUAUAUUGUGAUAAUCUAAUUUGGGCUAAUUAAAGUAUUUUGUUCAUAAAGUUAAGGAAUACAGGUCCUUCAUGAGUAAAUUACACACAAAAACAGUAGAGGUGCUGCCGAAAUUUUGUUUCAUUCAUUAUUUAUUACCAAAUAAUAGUAUUUACAAAAAAAAAAAAAAAAAAAAAA